rnacentral:rRNA from 1 species
AGACCCGAAACCCGGUGAUCUAGCCAUGGGCAGGUUGAAGGUUGGGUAACACUAACUGGAGGACCGAACCGACUAAUGUUGAAAAAUUAGCGGAUGACCUGUGGCUGGGGGUGAAAGGCCAAUCAAACCGGGAGAUAGCUGGUUCUCCCCGAAAGCUAUUUAGGUAGCGCCUCGUGAAUUCAUCUCCGGGGGUAGAGCACUGUUUCGGCUAGGGGGCCAUCCCGGCUUACCAACCCGAUGCAAACUGCGAAUACCGGAGAAUGUUAUCACGGGAGACACACGGCGGGUGCUAACGUCCGUCGUGAAGAGGGAAACAACCCAGACCGCCAGCUAAGGUCCCAAAGUCAUGGUUAAGUGGGAAACGAUGUGGGAAGGCCCAGACAGCCAGGAUGUUGGCUUAGAAGCAGCCAUCAUUUAAAGAAAGCGUAAUAGCUCACUGGUCGAGUCGGCCUGCGCGGAAGAUGUAACGGGGCUAAACCAUGCACCGAAGCUGCGGCAGCGACACUGUGUGUUGUUGGGUAGGGGAGCGUUCUGUAAGCCUGUGAAGGUGGCCUGUGAGGGUUGCUGGAGGUAUCAGAAGUGCGAAUGCUGACAUAAGUAACGAUAAAGCGGGUG